AUAUUACUAACUUAUUUCUGGGUAUCAUGCUUCAGAGAACCAUGAUGUGUUACAAUACGCUCCGCUCUUUAAUUUUAGUUUAGUAGAAAAUAUUCUCAAAACCUACAUAUAUCAAAAUUAUGUCAGGGUUCUAAAAUGAAUCGGUAAUAAAAUCGUAAACCAGAUCAACAUUGGAAAUAAUUUAAAAAAUUUGCUUUGGUCCGAUUGAAAAAAGUACUAUACUACCAAAUAGUUACAUCUAUUCUGUAGCAAUAAAAGUUAUAAAAUUCUGUCUAUUAUUAAUUUUAAUAUUAUAAAGUGUAUCGUUUAACUCUUAGCCAUUAUUUAUAAUUUAAUUGUUAAUUAUGCCUAAAAAAACGAAUUAACAACUUUGGUAUUGUUUGGAAGGUAAACAGCUUAAUUCCUUUAUGUAAAGCCACCUUAACAUGUUUUUGCAUAAUUCUGACUCACGUUGGUUGCUAUCGGGCUUAAGCCAUAAAAAUCGAAGAAAAAAAGAAGAAGACGAAGAGACUUUCACUUGUCAUUUCAAUGUCACUUUCCGGCCCACAAGCAUAAACGCCACCGGCAACGGAAGUUCCCAAAAUCCAAACAAAUGUUGGAAGAUAUUUUUAAGUCUCCGCAUCUUUCUUACUUUCCUAUAUGAAAAUAAAAUGUAAGUAUCACAAUUACACACAUACAAGUUUUUUUUUUUAAUUCAGUUUCAUAAUUACCAAUUUUUAGUGAAUAAUCCUGAAAUUUAUGAAAAUACAUACAUUUUAAGGUUAUGUCAUAAUGUUUUGAUUGUUAUAUUUGAUUUUGUUUUUGUUAUUUUAGUGGACUACACCAACAAAGGUUAUGUGUUUUGCACCAGAUUGAAAGCAUCAUAGCGAAAAACGGACCUGUCAUAUCUUUAAAUUUUCAAAAGAGCCCCUGGAAAAAGAAAAAUGAAUAUCUUUGCCAAGGAAUAGGUACUAAGGCAAAUGGAUAAAAAACCUUCAGUCCAUGCAUUGGUAUGUAAUUGUUGACAAAAAUACAAUGAAUGGCCUCACUACUUUUCCACAUGCAAAGAGGUUAACCAAGGAGAAAUUAAAGAAAUUGUCAAAAACCUAGGUAAAUACAGAAUUGCUUAGUACAAACAUAUCUAUACCCAGUACAAGUUCGUCCACUUCUUUGAAGCAUGGUACUUCAAACAGAGACACUGUCAACAAUUUUGUAGAAGGUGAGCCGGUGUCAAAUUCCAGUAAGGGACAUGAUUUCAAUUUUGCACCAACAGCAGAGCUAAAAUUCAUUUUGCCGCAAAAAACUGGAGGAUGUGAAAGAAAAAAGUGCAGAAGUUAAAAUUAAGUUUUUCAUAUGAGCACAUAAAAAAUAAUCAUGACAAAGUUCAGUUGUAUACAGGUUUGACAUGUAAUAAAUAUUUUUGUAAUCUUAUUAAGUUAAUUAGUUUUAUAUAUUAUUUAAAUAAUAAUUGUAUACUUCACAUAGAA